rnacentral:rRNA from 1 species
AUUGAACGCUGGCGGCAGGCCUAACACAUGCAAGUCGAACGAGUGGCGGAUGGGUGAGUAAUGUCUUGGCAACUUCAUGAUGGAGGGGGUUCACUACUGGAACCGGUAGCUAAUACUGCAUCCCAUGGGAUGUGCCCAGAUGGGAUUGGCUAGUAGGUGGGGUAAAGGCUCACCUAGGCGACGAUCCCUAGCUGGUCUGAGAGGAUGACCAGCGACACGGGAACUGAGACACGGUCCAGACUCCUACGGGAGGCAGCAGUGGGGAAUAUGGCACAAUGGGCGCAAACCUGAUACAGCCAUGCCGAGUGUAUGACGAAGGCCUUCGGGUUGUAAAGUACUUUCAGCGGGGAGGCGUUACCCGCAGAAGAAGCACCGGCUAACUCCGUGCCAGCAGCCGCGGUAAUUC